CUUCACCGACCCCAGCCACAGCGGCUCUUCCCGGUCCCGGCCGUAGGUCGCCAGCAGGGCCUGCGCCUC
rnacentral:antisense_RNA from 1 species